AGGGCGGUUCUGCGUGUUGCUAACACGCCACCACCAGA
rnacentral:tRNA from 1 species